CCUGCAAAAAAGAAUCAAGUAAGUCCCCACAGCUUUCAAACCUAGAGAAAAGGCGACCAGGGCAGAAUUUUCAGUUAUUUAUUCUCAUCACUAUUAUACCCUCGUUACCUGAGAAGAGAAAGGCAGCAGCUAUUAAUAUCUCUAUUUCUUUCGAGGGCUUUUCUGUACACUCUCCUGCACAAGAAUAACACUAUUUCCCCAACGGUUCAUGCUGGAGCAUCACAGCCAGCUGCAUUCUGCUGCCUUACAUCCAACACCUGAGGUGCUCUAAAAAGUACUUUUUAAUCAUCUUAGUUUCUGUCUUUAACCUCAGGUUCUGAAAAGUGAGCCAGAGAAGAAGGUUCAAAGGACUGAUGUGUAAAAAGACCCCUAAAGAUCUACGUUGGAUGUGCCGAUGCGUCUGCAGGAGUCUCGCUCAGGGCAGCGUCAAUCACCGUCCCCAGGUGACUGAGUUAGGUGCCUGAAGUUGUAACAGCGGAACAGGAGCCUAAGCACCCAGGUGGGGACCAGAAGUGGCAGGUUCCAUAGAAGGCUGGAUACUUUGACCUGCAGGAUUUAAUGCUCUACUCUGAUGAAUACUUAUUUUUACAUAUAACAAAAUAAAUAAAUAAGACACUGGAGCCUAAUCAUAAAAAUAAAUCAUGUAGCCCCAUGGAAACAGCAAUCAAUUACAGAAGAAAAGAACCCUCCUGUGUGAAAAGCCAGAACUGCCUCUGUUGUAACCAACAGACAUCCUGAGGAUGCAAAUAGUUACUCUGUUCUACGGCAGCGACAAACCAAACGCCAAGGAGAACACAAGAACCAGGAAUCACUUGGACUUUGUGCUGCCUUCCAGUUUUGUGAGGACUUGCUGUGGCAGCUCAGUUUGUGGAUUCUGCUGCUCUGCACCACUCAGGGGUUGCAAACUUCCCAGUUCUCACAUAAAGAAGGGAUCGAAACAGCCACUGACUCACUGCUGGUUACUUUCCCCAUGACACCCCUUAUCAGCUGUCAGAUGAUGUGCCCACAUAACACCCAACCUCAACCUAAAGAAUCUACAUAGCAUACAUGCAACAUUUUCCUUGCCAAAGAUUCCACUUUUUAAUUAUGCUGGCUGUUCAGUCCAUGUGUCUCAUUUCUAGUUUUAGCUUAUUGCUUCCUAGCAUAAGAUCUUGUUAUUCUUUGUUUACUGAAAAGCCUUUUUGUGGUCCGUAUGUUCUUCUCGUACUGGCUCACAUCAGAAGGCAGGUCUGCGAGCACCCCAAGUGUUCCCAAAUCUCUGAACCUCUUAUAAUUUUUAACAGUGUGAGAUUUUCUGAUACAGACACUGAAGGUCUAUGAGCCUCACCUUCCUAAUCCUAGUAGAAUUGUCUUCGAUAAUACAGCCAAGGAUCCCUUUGUGCCAAUGCAUUGCACUGUCAUUACAUGGUCUGCUCUAUUCUAAAUCACAACUUUUCACUCAGCAGCCUUCUUGUUCCCAGAUAUAAGCCUUCAAUUUGGCAGCAUUAAAGCACCUCUUUCUUUUUUUUAAAUUGUAUUUUGUUUACCAGUUCAUCUGUGUCAUCCCCAUUUUAAAUAUCUUCACUUUACCUUCCCUGAGUGAUUGGUAAAACUAUCAGUUUUUAGCAGAGAACAGAUCUGUCUGGAGUGCUUCAGAAACUAAUUCCCUUGUGUGAUGAGUUCCAACUUACAUUUUUUUUUUCCAAUAUAUUAAUCAGCUUUGAGUUAUUGAAUAUGAAAUACAUCACAUUCACAUAUCCACCUGAAAAGUAAUGUUAUACUCAGGUCUUACAGAAACUGGUAUUUCAACCAGUUUCCUUAUCAGUCAAAAAUGCAAUUUUCUCAAGAACAAAUUUUUAAUAUUUAUUCCUUCUUGUGUUUUCUUUCAGCCAGUCCAAGAUUUUACCUAGGACUUGUGCCAGGCUUCUCAGUUCACUGUUACAUAAUAAUCUGAUUUACAGCUUUCAACAUCAGGAUUACAAUCACUUUAAUAACUUCUUACUUUCUAUCACAACUAUCUUCCAUUUAUAUGUUAAUGAAUUCAACAGAGAAACUAAAACCUCUGAAAAAUCCUAUAUAAAGGUUAAAAAGUGAAUGAGCAGGUGUCCCAUUUUUCUUUCUGUCAAAGAAUGAGUAACACAUAGGUACACAUUAUUUAUUAUCGUCUCUCUUGAUAGCAUGACAAAGAUUCGUUUUGAAAAGUUACAGACAGCAAAAGAACGCCUGACUGAACCGUGCAACAGAGCCAUCUGCGACUUCUCUAAAUUGGGAGAAAUCCCCAGACUACUAGAGAGUGGUAAUUUUUUUAAAACAGAGAGAAUGGGAAAAAAUAAGAUCAAUUAGAUUUUCAAGUCUUUUCCCCUUGUCAGGCACACAGCCAAGGCUCCCGAGGUGUGAUUACCUGGAACACUGGCUUCAGCACAAAAACUGCUAGAAAAACUGCCAACAUCUUCUUGGUGUCUAGAGUAAAACUAGGGGGUUACACUGUGAAAUAGAUCACUGAAGUCACCCAGCAUAGAAAUAACCCCUUCUUGAACUGUACGGCAUAGUAUCUUCAAAUUUAACUAGUCCAUGGCAGGAACAAGAAUGAGCUGCUAAGAGCAAGGACAUGUAUUGGCUUUGCCACCACCUGUAAUCACGACACUUCCAUCUAAAAUUCUUCAGUUACUUUCCAGCUUUAAAUUGAAGCUUUUUUCCCCCCUCCCAUUGAAGGCAUGUGGAAAUGCUGUGCUUUUGCUAGGUUAAUCUAACAAACCCAGUGGUUUUCUUCCUAUUUUCCCAUUGCCUUUCCUCUAAAUUCCUUAUUUGCAGUAUUAAUUUCCUUCUCCUUGCAACUCCAAGUCUUCAAUAAACUUUACAGUGUUCAAGAGCAAUUGGCUUUCAACUGUGGAACACAAUCCAGCCUUUUGCACCUUGUGACUCUCUUCUUCCCUUCAGCAUUUCGUGCUUUCUCUCAUUGAACCCAUAUGAAUAUGAAAAGUCACCAGGUCACAAUGCUGUUCUUUAAACCCCCUCUCCUAAUUCCUCUGCCUGCUAAUCACUCUGUACCACCACGCAUUAGGCUCGUCUGGCUGCUGCUCACUCAGAACUGUUUUGCUUUUGUCUUACCUCUGAAUGCUUGCUCUAUUCAUGCUUUUUUUUUUCCACUGUUCUAAGAUUUUGGACUCUAUUCUUCUGCUAAUAUCUCCUUUUCAUUACAUACAUGUACAGUGCAUAGUAUAAUGGUUCCGAGCACGUGGUUUGUUGAAUAUACAAAGAAAUCUAGCUGGAAACAACAGCUGUAUCAUCUAAUCCCCAAGUCUCCUACCUUGAGAUAGUACCUGUUCCCCAAGAUCUACACACAAGAACUUUUGCUGAGAAAUUACCAGCUUCCUUUGCAACCAUCCCCAAGCCCCUUUUCACAUGAAGAACAGUUUUUCUCUAGGCUACAACAGAUUGUUUCCAAAAGCUACACCAUAUAAACCACUUCCCCCAAUACUGUGCUGCUUCCCAACAGCCAUGGCCUCAACCUUCUCUAAACAUGGACAAGAUGACAACCAAAGAUCAGAGCGCUUGACUCUGGAUAUUUCAAGGCUUACACAUUUCAUCCUUACCUGUUGCAACCUUCCUUUUAGCAAUCUUUUUUUUUCUUUCAGAUCUUAGAUACUGACUGCACUGUAUGCCCUUAUUUUUCCACUGGCCACCUUGGAAAAGAGUUUUAAAAUAACUGCCCCAACUCCAUGCAGUAUUUAACUGGUGGAAUCUUUAUUAUUGCGCAGAUAAUUUGGACUUCCUUAGUAAUUCAAACAAUGAGUAAUUAUCAUCCUCAUAUUCAAAUAUCUUUGAAACAUUUUUAUGCUGAUAUCACAUCCCUAAGCUCUAUGAUUAAAAUUGUAAUCUGCAAGCAGUAUCACAUAGGGUAGGGGAAUCUGCAGAGUACCCUGGAUAAACAGCAGCUGAUACAAUGAGAACAUGAGUGCAGCAGUGCCUGUGAGCUUAACACCCAAAAUUACCUGUUCUGAGGAGGUGUUUGCCUAAAAAAUGAUAAUGCUAAGAGGAAAGUUAAAAAUGAAUUUGCUUAAAAUGACCAGAUGAAACGGUAACCAGAAGAUUACCAAGAAACUUUUGAGAAAAGGAUUAGUCACUGACAAGAAGUACAAAAGCAGCAAGAAAAGGUGCAAUCAUGGGGAGGAAUGUGGAGGUGGAACACAGCAGCAGUCAAACCAAGUCAGACACCCCAACAUUGCAACUUGUGGCUCACCCUCUCUGCUGGGAGCCGUAGGAAGCCUGCACCCAUCCGAAGGACUGUCAAUGUGGGUUGCAAUGUGGGAACCCCCACCUCGAGCACAGGUAUGUGACUGGGUGCUCUGUGGGUGUGGGUACACACAAAGCUGGAGCACCCACAUAUCAGCAGCGGGUCUCACGGUCCCCAAAGAAGUGCAACAUGUAAUUUAAAAUUGCGUGUGUGUCUUGGGGAGGGGCUGAGAGUAAUUUGUGAACAGUUACAGAAGGGUAGUUUGAAAUUUGUAGGUGUUCCUUGGCAUUAUAAAAGUGUCAAGUAUCCUGGUUUACCUGGUGAAAAGCUGAUACUCAUCCUGGAGAUGUGUUGCAGUGACUGCAGGUUCAUCAUGUUUUGCUAAUAAAUGAAUGAGCUGACUUGAUUCUCAUUUGAUUUAAACCACAACAGUCAAACAGUUUUUCCCUGACACAUCUGAGGCCUGUAGACCAGCACACCCAGCCUCCUGUGGUCAGCCAUAAUCCAAAACAUUACAGCUGUAAUAUAAAGUGUCCCUCAGAAAGCAAUAAAUGUACCCUGGGCUUGGGUGUAACGCCAGGACAGUUUCCAAACAAGGACAGUCCUCUUGGGAAAGAGGCUGUGUAUUUUCAAGAGCCAUCUGAACACCAGAUAAAGAAUAAUUCCAUUCCAAAAUGAUUCUG